CCUUGGUACCCAAACAUUAACAGAGUUCGGAAUACUCGGUGUCCCGACGAGCUUCACGGCGGGGGGCGUGAACGCAGGGGGCGCGUCCAGGGAAACAUUUCCGCCACGUCUACUGCGGGUCCUGUAGCGGACUCUGUUUCUCGGGUGGCGCUGGGGCACUCAGUUUUAAGUCUUUUCUCCGCCUACCAGAGAGUUUGAACUCAGGGGCGGCAGUAGUCCUUGACCCAGGUUUGGCGUGAUGGAGCCAGCGUCCUCGGUUUGGGGAGGCCUCGACCAAGAUAGAGCUCCUUCUACCCCCACUUGAUAUCUGCUUAUCAGGCUAUUGUGUACCCCAGUUUCCCCUGAACGCCAUCUGCCCCCUAGUUCCAGGUUCUCUUUUGGCCUUGUACUGUAUCUCUAGCCCUAGUAUUGCAUUCCCACUUAACUCUUUCCGUCUAAUGCUGUGGCGUCUCCUGGGCUGUACCUCGGGUACCAGGGAGAGCAAGAGCACGGAAAGUCGGAGUCAGACCCCACUGCCGCAGGAUGAGUAGGAGCCCAAGCUGGUCUGAUCAGCUCCAUGCGGUUCUCAGUUCAACUGAUGAAAAUAUAGUCCGGAUUAAGGUGACCUGGCUGAUACCUGCAUUUCCAUCAUCACUUGCCUCCUCAGCUAGGGAUCCAAGCUCAACAGCCUUGGCCUCUAAAGACUCCCAGUCUUCGAAAGAGACUGAGCUGCACUGGAGCCAACAGCUCAUCCUCUCUCUGGGAUGA
rnacentral:lncRNA from 1 species